UAGAGCUUACGCCCACAGGGGCAGAACCUCUCCACCCUUUGCGUACCCAUACUUUGUUGCUUUGGCGGGCCGCCCUCGGGCCUCGCGCGCCCGCCAAUGACCAAACCCUUUUUUAUUCCUGUCGUCUGAGCACUAUAUAAUAGUUA
rnacentral:rRNA from 1 species